rnacentral:rRNA from 1 species
CUUAACACAUGCAAGUCGAGGGGCAUCAGGAAGAAAGCUUGCUUUCUUUGCUGGCGACCGGCGCACGGGUGAGUAACACGUAUCCAACCUGCCCUUUACUCGGGGAUAGCCUUUCGAAAGAAAGAUUAAUACCCGAUAGCAUAAUGAUUCCGCAUGGUUUCAUUAUUAAAGGAUUCCGGUAAAGGAUGGGGAUGCGUUCCAUUAGGUUGUUGGUGAGGUAACGGCCCACCAAGCCUUCGAUGGAUAGGGGUUCUGAGAGGAAGGUCCCCCACAUUGGAACUGAGACACGGUCCAAACUCCUACGGGAGGCAGCAGUGAGGAAUAUUGGUCAAUGGGCGGUAGCCUGAACCAGCCCAGUAGCGUGAAGGAUGAAGGCUCUAUGGGUCGUAAACUUCUUUUAUAUAAGAAUAAAGUGCAGUAUGUAUACUGUUUUGUAUGUAUUAUAUGAAUAAGGAUCGGCUAACUCCGUGCCAGCAGCCGCGGUAAUACGGAGGAUCCGAGCGUUAUCCGGAUUUAUUGGGUUUAAAGGGAGCGUAGGUGGACUGGUAAGUCAGUUGUGAAAGUUUGCGGCUCAACCGUAAAAUUGCAGUUGAUACUGUCAGUCUUGAGUACAGUAGAGGUGGGCGGAAUUCGUGGUGUAGCGGUGAAAUGCUUAGAUAUCACGAAGAACUCCGAUUGCGAAGGCAGCUCACUGGACUGCAACUGACACUGAUGCUCGAAAGUGUGGGUAUCAAACAGGAUUAGAUACCCUGGUAGUCCACACAGUAAACGAUGAAUACUCGCUGUUUGCGAUAUACAGUAAGCGGCCAAGCGAAAGCAUUAAGUAUUCCACCUGGGGAGUACGCCGGCAACGGUGAAACUCAAAGGAAUUGACGGGGGCCCGCACAAGCGGAGGAACAUGUGGUUUAAUUCGAUGAUACGCGAGGAACCUUACCCGGGCUUAAAUUGCAGUGGAAUGAUGUGGAAACAUGUCAGUGAGCAAUCACCGCUGUGAAGGUGCUGCAUGGUUGUCGUCAGCUCGUGCCGUGAGGUGUCGGCUUAAGUGCCAUAACGAGCGCAACCCUUAUCUUCAGUUACUAACAGGUUAUGCUGAGGACUCUGGAGAGACUGCCGUCGUAAGAUGUGAGGAAGGUGGGGAUGACGUCAAAUCAGCACGGCCCUUACGUCCGGGGCUACACACGUGUUACAAUGGGGGGUACAGAAGGCAGCUAGCGGGUGACCGUAUGCUAAUCCCAAAAUCCUCUCUCAGUUCGGAUCGAAGUCUGCAACCCGACUUCGUGAAGCUGGAUUCGCUAGUAAUCGCGCAUCAGCCACGGCGCGGUGAAUACGUUCCCGGGCCUUGUACACACCGCCCGUCAAGCCAUGGGAGCCGGGGGUACCUGAAGUACGUAACCGCAAGGAUCGUCCUAGGGUAAAACUGGUGACUGGGGCUAAG